GGAAUCAGCACCGGGCCAAGCCGUGGUUUAGACACCCGGUUCACAAUGAUCAAUGGAGCUAUGGAAACAGCAGACAUCGCGCCGGAGCCUGCUGGCCUCCCAUCUGGAGCCUCACAGACACUGAAGGCUAUGAAAGCUGUAGUACUGUGGAGACGGAAAGGACAUAUGGCAAUCACCCAUUUGUCUCCUUCCUCCGAAGACCACAACUAUAGCACCAUAUAGGAUCCGACACAAAAGGAGCCAAUAAGAAAUGGAAAUGGAGUCAAAGAAGAGGAAGUCGUUUCCCGAGAUGCAUCUGUGAGAGUGUCUGGCAGGUGGAAGGGAGGGAACGAGCAUCAUUGAACUUCUACUACUCUCUGUCUCUGCUACAGCACCUCAUAUGCACUGCCUCGCUCAAGCCUCGUACCAUGAGGUUGUUCAUAUCAUGGACGACUGCGGCUGCUCUCUGUGUGGUGAGCUAUGGUGCUCUACAGACCGGUCACCUCCGACACGACUGAAGACCCGAAGGAACACGUGCUCUGGCAGCUCCCACCUGCUUCAGAGAAGGACCGAGCCUUGAUUCUCAGAGGAGCAAAAGCGUACGCAGGCAGUCCGGAACAAUCGUUGCCACUUUUCCACUUCCAUGUCGGUGACAUCAGGUAACAGAUACACGGGACAUAAUUAAAAAUAAACGAGAAAAAGGUUUCCAUGGUUCACGAAAGCAGUAGGAGUAUUGUGAGGAAAGCUUAGAAGCAUUUAUCUGCUGCUACCCAAAAUUUAGCAUUUGACUUUAAUUAUGCCUCCUUAGGAAUUAAGCAAAGCAGAAAAUGUUUCAACACGACCAGCUGCUGCAGAUCCAAACUGUUUCACGGGUGAACUUUUUAUUUAAUCUUUUCUGUUGCUUUUUGAUCAUGCAAUAAACCCCACUCGUAACAGAUUAAAGGUCAUAAAAAUUAUAAUGACAUUAGCCAGCUAACCCAUUUUUCCCAAACCCUCUUGAAACACCUAGGACCAAAGCAUGCUACUAUAGUCAUAAACCAGAGUCGUCUGGGGAAGAGGCAGGCCCCACCCUCUCCUCUUUCAGAGUCCCUGUGGGUCAGAAGCUGAAUCUUUAUGCCACAGUUAAGGUUAUGGCUGCGUUUUUCAUACGUAUUACCAAGGUGUCAGAUCCUGGACCAGAAGGAGGUGCCCUCACAUAACCCUUCUCCGGUUACCCCUGCUCAAAGAGGAGAGAUUGGAGAGUGGAGAUCGUGUGGGUUAACUUAAAAGAGGUGAGCACAUUCCUGGCACACAGAGGGAGAUGGACCUCUGUCACCUGCGCGUGACGGAUAGCAUUACAACUGGCUAAUUUAGAGCAUUAGGAAGACGUGGGCCUGCCCAUUUGAAGCUUCCGUUCCAACAAAGGAGAGUUCAUGAUGGCAUAUGAUGAAUGCACAGAUCACUCACCGUGAGGGCAGAAGGUAGGACAGA